rnacentral:lncRNA from 1 species
GUUACUGGAUUUGCUGGAGGUCAGCCCCUGAUGCUGAAGUUCUUAGAGAAGGCUUUCCUUCCUUGUGUGGAGUUCAGCCUGUUCUGAAAAUCUGUGAAUUAAUAUAUGCUCAAUGACACAAAUGUAAUGACACGGAAAAACCAGACACAUCUCUUCACCGCAGAUCUUUAUUAUAAAACAUAUAAGUGAGGCUUCAAUAUAUCAGUAAAUCAUGACAUGGCUUAUCAUCCAAUAAUCAUGACUCAAUUUUCCAUUAAAGUAUAUUUACUCAUUUUUUAAAAAUAUUAUGAAUUACAUUGCUACAAAUUAUGCUAAAUGUGUGGUAAUUUACACAACUAUAACUUGAGUUUUGGACUUUAGUAGAUUGGCAUUUAAAUGCUGGCUGUGAACUAGCUAAGUGGCCUUAUUGUUCUCACCGUGACAUAGUAAUGAAACAAUAUUGGAAGACAGCUAUAACAACUGUAAUAUAAAGUGAAAAGAUCUGUGAUUUAUAUUGGUGACAGAAGUACUAUCAUAUCGCUGAGGCUUGUGACCUGUAGUCAAAAUUCAAGCAAGUAUUAAGUCUGAGUUAGAAGGCAAUAGAAAUAAAGAUGAGCUGGACACAGUGGCACACACCUAUAAUCCCAGCAACUUGGGAGGCUGAGGCAGGAGGAUCACAAGUUCAAAGCCAGCCUCAGCUACUUAUCGAGGCUCUAAGCAAAGCGAGAAUUUGUCUCAAAAUAAAAAAUAAAAAGGGCUGGGAUUGUAGCUCAGUGAUAAGUCCCUUGGGUGCAAUUCCCAGUACCAAAAAUAUAAAUGAAACCUUUCCCCAUCCAAGUCCACAGACCCUUUUGCCUGAAUUCUACCUACUAAAUCCUAUGGACACUGGUUUAAAAUUUUGUGCUUUAGGAACACACCAUAUCUUGUGAAAUGUAAGAUAGAACUGGAAUAUUAGUUCCUUUAAAUAUGCUCAAUUGUGAUAGAAAUUAAUUUGUUGUAUCAUAAUUAAUAAAUUAAGGGGGGAAAUAUUGUAUUUUUCCUUUAGUUUCUUAUGUGCAUUAUUCAAACAAAGUCUAAGUGAAUGGAAAGCCAUUUUUAUUUUCCUACAAAGUUUUUU